rnacentral:lncRNA from 1 species
GGGCAGAGAGGUGACUGGACUGUGCAACCCCUGAGGCAUGAGUGUUUCUGUGACGUGAUGCUGUCACCCACAUGCAGGCCUGAGGAACCAAGGAGAGAGCCCUUUACAGCGGGCAGGAAGAUGAAUAGACAUCAGCUAGCAUGAAGAAAUCCCACAAAAACACAGUAUAGAUAGCAUCAACUUAUGGAGAGUUUGAGCUUCAAAUCCACUCCUAGUUGCAAGGGCAGGAUCCACAGCCUGUUUAUCCGAGACUGCUCUGCACUUCCUGCUCAGAUUUGAGAGUUAGAGUUAUGUGGCCUGGAAACUUUUCUCUAAGCUAAACUCCUUUGGCAUGUGAUUGGCAUCCAGACAAGAGCUGAGCAGCUUAAAGUCCCAGGAACUCCUUCAGGGGCGGUUGGAUCUUAUUAUGUCAUUGUGUCUGGAACAGGCUAACGCCUUUCCCAAGCACCCAGGGUACCCCAGGGAGUCUGAAUUUUCUCUGGAAAUGACCCCUUCAUUCUUUCCCAGCUUGAUCUUCAGUAGUCCUGGGGUGGCCGUGAGAGGGUAUUUGCUCCUCUUCUUCACUGGAAUUUCUCCUCCCGCUCACCAGAAAGAAAAGAAUGAGGAAGUGUACAUGACAGAUUCUCUGGGUCUGGCUUAUUUGUUCAAGGAACACAUUUGGG